CACAAGGAUGAUAGGAAACUCUUUUCGUCUUUACUUCAGUGACGAACGCAAAGACUUGGUCUCUCUCUCUCUCUUUCGGAAUGGUCACCGACGCGACGCCAUCCCUCUCUCAAUCGCAGCUGAAGCUCACAGCUCCGUUAUUAGGAGACAGGAGAAGUAAAGGAGUGACAGUACGGAAUUCACGGUGCUCACUGUCCGUGUUGCACAUGUGAAUAGUCGGAAAGCUAUUCGUGACGGUCACUGUCCAUGUUGCAGCUGGGAAUAGUCGGAAAGG